UACGUAGGGGGCAAGCGUUGUCCGGAUUUAUUGGGCGUAAAGAGCGUGUAGGCGGCCAAAUAGGUCGGUUGUGAAAACUGGAGGCUUAACCUCCAGACGUCGACCGAAACCAUCUGGCUAGAGUCCGGAAGAGGAGAGUGGAAUUCCUGGUGUAGCGGUGAAAUGCGCAGAUAUCAGGAGGAACACCGGUGGCGAAGGCGGUUCUCUGGGCAUUACCUGACGCUGAGGAGCGAAAGUGUGGGGAGCGAACAGG
rnacentral:rRNA from 1 species